GACGAACGCUGGCGGCGUGCUUAACACAUGCAAGUCGAACGGAAAGGCCCUGCACUUGUGGGGUGCUCGAGUGGCGAACGGGUGAGUAACACGUGAGUAACCUGCCCUUGACUUUGGGAUAACUUCAGGAAACUGGGGCUAAUAUCGGAUAGGAGCUCCUGCUGCAUGGUGGGGGUUGGAAAGUUUCGGCGGUUGGGGAUGGACUCGCGGCUUAUCAGCUUGUUGGUGGGGUAGUGGCUUACCAAGGCGUUGACGGGUAGCCGGCCUGCGAGGGUGACCGGCCACAUUGGGACUGAGAUACGGCCCAUACUCCUACGGGAGGCAGCGGUGGAGAAUAUUGCACAAUGGGCGGAAGCCGGAUGCAGCAACGCCGCGUGCGGGAUGACGGCCGUCGGGGUGGAAACCGCGUUCGCCUGUGACGAAGCGUGAGUGACGGUAAUGGGUAAAGAAGCACCGGCUAACUACGUG
rnacentral:rRNA from 1 species